rnacentral:rRNA from 1 species
GAUGAACGCUAGCGGCAGGCUUAAUACAUGCAAGUCGAGGGGCAGCAUGACUGUAGCAAUACAGUUGAUGGCGACCGGCAAACGGGUGCGGAACACGUACAGAACCUUCCUUCGAGCGGGGAAUAGCCCAGAGAAAUUUGGAUUAAUACCCCAUAGUCCAGCGGAGUGGCAUCACUUUGUUGUUAAAGAUUUAUCACUUGAAGAUGGCUGUGCGGCUGAUUAGGUAGUUGGCGGGGUAACGGCCCACCAAGCCUGCGAUCAGUAACUGGUGUGAGAGCACGACCAGUCACACGGGCACUGAGACACGGGCCCGACUCCUACGGGAGGCAGCAGUAAGGAAUAUUGGUCAAUGGACGAAAGUCUGAACCAGCCAUGCCGCGUGGAGGAUGAAGGUCCUCUGGAUUGUAAACUUCUUUUAUAUGGGACGAAAAAAGGCUUUUCUAAGUCGUCUGACGGUACCAUAUGAAUAAGCACCGGCUAACUCCGUGCCAGCCGCCGCGGUAACAC